rnacentral:lncRNA from 1 species
UUAUUUAUUAAUUUAUUUAUACACAGCAGCCUUCUUCACAGUAGAAGCCAGGUUCAUUGUUAGGAUCUCAGGGUCUGCUUUGCCUUCAAAUUACACAAAACAAAAUUAGAAACAACAGUAUAUGACUGCAUGUUUAAAGAGUAUAUACAUGUCAAGAGACUUGGAACAGGGUGGCACGUGCAGCCUUGUUUUUUCCCCCUAUCUUCAGCUUUGUAAUAUGCCUUUAAAAUGGCACAUGCAUGUAUUGUGUGCCUGCACCUUCACUCUUCUUCUGUCCAUUGACAGUCAUCCUCCCUAUGGACCAGUGCUAGAGGACAAUGAGAAACAUACUUUGCCGCUUUUUUCAUGGAUGACUAUUGGCAUGAAACCAAUAGUGAGACAGAGGCCUCUCAAGGAUCAGUACCAGGUUCUCCUGUGUCUCACUGAUUAAGCCUCUUGCUAUUCCUGCUCUGCCCCCAUGUACUAUUAUGUUAAUCAGUCUGCCUUCUCUUUCCUACAUGCCCAAACCUCCCCCUUCACCCAUAAUCUGGAAGUACUUCUUUCCCCCCACUUUCCUAUUAGAUCUCAAGUCCAUGAAAGGAAACACCUGAACUUCCCAAUGAAAAGGUUUUAAGAAGUUAGGUGGGGUUAUUUUACAAAAAGUAGUGAAUAAACCCCUAUCAAACACCUUAUACUCAACAAGAGUCUCAGAAAUAGCUAUGCUGCUUUAACUAAAGUUCAAAAUAUUUGAGAUGGAACCUCUACAAGGAACAAUUUCAGGCCAUGGAAAACAAGCUUAGCAAAGUUCUCAACAACAUAGUUAGGAUUUUAUGGGAAGGGCUAGCUAAAACUGUCAAUAUUCUCAACCAUACUAGCUCAGUCAAUCACAACGUGAUGAAUUUUAUCAUAAGAUAAUGGAGAGAGCCAUACAAAAGGAACUGCAAUUCCAUCCCUGUUUCUUGGCUGUAGGCCACGCUGGCUAAAAGUUUUCUUCUCUUCUGAAUAUAUGCAGAAUCACUCAUAGCUCAUGUCCAAACAGCAUUUUUAGGGGUGUUUUCACACAACUGCAAGUAGAAGAGGCACAUUUAUUCCAACUAACUUUCAUUUGAAGACAUGUAAAUAGGCUUGAGGGUCAGACGGAAUGAUGAUGCUGUUCACAGUGAUCAGAAGAGAACCGAGACGUGCUGGUCUUUAAAAGGAAGUGUUAAAAGCUGUCAUACUGAGUUUCAAGCAGAUGGUUAGGUAGCCAUGAGGGAAGAGUCAGAACCAGCUGAGAUUUUGAUUUGGAUAUAAAACAUAUCCCUGAAAGGAAGGGAAGGGUGAAAGUCAGUCUCUGCAGAAACGGGAAUUGAAUUUAUAUGUUUUUAAAAUUACAGUAGCUUGCUAAAUUACAUGCACAUAAAGGUAUUUCUUGUACAUGUGCUGACAUUGUAUUUUGCUGCCCUGAAAAAAAGCAAAGUUGAAAGGUGUUACUUGAAUAUUGUCCGUUCAAAUAAAUGGAUGAAAAAGAGAAUAUAUACCAUAGCUGGUAUUGACAUACACAUGCCUUUAUAUAUAUGGAUAUCGGAGGGUGUUUCAUUUUUUUGUGGAAGGGUUCUACAAAAUAUGACCUCCAUUCCCUUAAACACAUACUCCUAAAACUAGAAACAUUUUGGGUUUUCCCCCCUAUUUGCCUUCCUAAACUUGUCCUAAGCAUCUGUAUUAUGUUAUCCAACACACUGGCUGCUAACAAUACAAUCAAUAUAAAAGGUUACUUAGGGGGCAUGGCUUUUUUUCUGUCCUCAAAACGUAAACCUUAUUUUAAUAGGGAUUUGAACUCUUUCAGUGUGGAAAAUGUCUCAGGAUCAUUCAGGGAAGGGAGGAAAAAAAAAAAAAAAGAAAAAAUGAAGCAUAGAGAAAUUACAGGUUUUGGAGUCUGAAAACAGGAAAUUCGCUUUAAUAAACAUUUUUCUGCACACCAGCAUAAAAUAUAUUUUUUCAGUUUCAUAACUUGAUUGUAAAAUUUUACAGGGCAGGAAGUUGGCAUGCCAGGCACUGACCUAAAUACC